rnacentral:rRNA from 1 species
GUCCACGCCCUAAACGAUGAGAACUAGACGUUGGGAAGUUUAUCUUCUCAGUGUCGCAGCUAACGCGUUAAGUUCUCCGCCUGGGGAGUACGGCCGCAAGGUUAAAACUCAAAGGAAUUGACGGGGCCCGCACAAGCGGUGGAGCAUGUGGUUUAAUUCGAUGCAACGCGAAGAACCUUACCUGCCCUUGACAUCCACGGAACCCUGCCUAGAGGCGGGGGUGCCCUUCGGGGAGCCGUGAGACAGGUGCUGCAUGGCUGUCGU